UAGGGAAUCUUCCACAAUGGACGCAAGUCUGAUGGAGCAACGCCGCGUGAGUGAAGAAGGUUUUCGGACCGUAAAGCUCUGUUGUUGGUGAAGAAGGAUAGAGGUAGUAACUGGCCUUUAUUUGACGGUAAUCAACCAGAAAGUCACGGCUAACUACGUGCCAGCAGCCGCGGUAAUACGUAGGUGGCAAGCGUUGUCCGGAUUUAUUGGGCGUAAAGCGAGCGCAGGCGGAAGAAUAAGUCUAUGUGAAAGCCCUCGGCUUAACCGAGGAAUUGCAUCGGAAACUG
rnacentral:rRNA from 1 species